CCCGUCCUUAUCUCAACCCUUGAGCCCUUUGCAUCGUAUUUUCUCACCUUUUCCUUUGAGGAGCGGGAAUGAGAGAGCGGCCAGGGUGGAACUCGGCUGCCCAUCCGAGUAAAACCACCACAAAGACCAAGCUACCUCUCUCUCGUGGGCUGUUGAGACUAAGUUAAAGGAUGUGAAGGGGCAUGGAACUUGCAUCCAUAGCUGCUGCGAUGGAGCGAAGUAGCUCUGCACUUUUGGCACACAAGGAAAAGGUCUAAUUUAUCUUACUGAAAUCAUUGCAGCUUCUGCUGUCUAUAGUACAGGCAACUGGGAGGUCAGAUGCCUGCAAGCAGUGUUUCCAUCGCAGUGUAUUUAUAUGUUUUGGUGAUGGGCAAACCUAACAUCAUGUGGGCUGAAUCCGGCCUUGUACUAAGUUCCCUCAAGUUUGGCUGCCUGAGCUGUGUGACCUGUAUUGAGAUACCUGAGAAUCUGCCAUUUGCAACAAGUCACUGAAUGCUCUGCUGAGUUGAUUACACUGUUCUGUGAAUCUUAACGGCAUACUCGAAAACACUUUUAACCUCCUAUUUGACAUUGUUGACCAAAGAAGGGCUUAGGAAAACAAAAUUUUCCUUGCUAAAAACUCUAUUUCUUAAUGGGUUUCUAUUAGUUACAAUCCAUGUAACAUUUGGUCCCUUUUGCUGCUGGGGAGAUCUGCUAUAAGUAGCUUAGGCAGAACUGCAUUGCCUGCAGAUUAAAACACACACACAAACAUGAGGUUUUUAGGUGAAUUCAUCAAAAAAGCUAUGGAGAUGCGUUUUUUUUUUUUUUUUAAUGCAUUAAAGCCAUCUGCAUCCUCCCCAGCAAUGACAGUGGAACAUUCCUUUAGCUAUUACAUGAGGCAGAAUCUCCUUUCAGAAGUGUUAGAAUGUGCAGUUGUCCCAGACAUCUGAACUGCUGGGGAAAAAAAAAAAAAAAAAAAAAGUAGAAGCACUGUGCAUUUUUAUUUUUCUUUUUUUAAAUCAAAAUGCUCUGGAUUUGUGAGGUCAAAAGUGCUUGGACUCUCUGCGAAGAGCAGGUAAUUUGUAAUUAAAGAAAGAUAUGAGUGCAGAUACCACUAGAAUGAAAACACUAACACAAAUGUUUUGAUAAAGCCUGUGGAAAAUUCCUGUGAAGUAUUGCAGUAAAAAUCCUUUCUGUUGUGCUCUUGGAGUCUGUCAGCAAUCAAUAGGUUGAUACAAUGGAAUAUGUUAAUGCAGUGAAAUCCAGUUAUUAAAACAGGAUUAGAUGGUACUCUGUCUGGAAGACUGAAGCACUCUGCUUCGGUUUUUGAUCAUCAGACAGUCCCAGGAUCUCAGGUUAAUUUUAAGUAUCAUCUUUUGCCACUGUUCAUUAAUAAUUGCAAAUAGCUAUGUUAAAAAAAAAAAAAGGGAAGAAAAAAAAAGAAACAAAAGAGGUUUCAGAUGUCACAGCCUGUAUUCCAGGAAAGCCUGCCAAGUCUCCAGAAAACUGAACUUAGUAACUGAAACUAUUAAAAUCAUAAAGUUUUAUAGAAAUUAAUUUUAUUAUGCUUUCAUCCUAGGAUAUUUAAUAGAACACAUUACACAUAGCACGUCAUACUUUUCAGGCUUUAUCUGCUUGGUCAUUGUCUGCAUAACUAGCAGCAUUUUUUGCAGCAGAUCCUUUUUAUCAAGGUCUAGUGGUGCGGCUCUCUGAAAUGUUCACUGUGCAAUUCAGGAAUCUGUGAUAUGCACUAGGUCUAUGCAGUCAUGUGUUUUCACCCCCCCUAAAUCAGGAAAACACUGUGCUGCCACAGAGAUGUUCUUCAUUCUACUAAAUCUGGAGGAGGGUAACAAAUAAACCAACUUCUUGUGGGACUGCAGAUGGAGUGUAACACACAUUUUUUUAAUAGUAGUUAAACAAAAGGAAUGAAAUAGCUUUCCCAAAGCAUUGCUCUUGGUCUGACUGCUAGGACUUCAGUUAAUGCUUUCCUUUUGUGGAAGGCUAGAGGACAAGAAAGGACACAGUCUCCUGGGGUAAAGUAAAAUUCAUCCUUUUAGCAGUUAUCUCUGAAAGUUAAAAGUAAAGGAACAGGCAUUUUUCCAUAGUAAAUUCAAAAGCAGCAGUGUAAUAAAAAGAACAAUAAAAUUAUAACCGAGAGAGAGAGUCUGGGUGGCUAGAGCAAUUGGCACAGGAUCCAGAUUCGUGAAUUCUCUUCUCUCUCUGAAUAAUGACAUUGGUGGUCAUUUAGAGCAAAUCCUUUCCUUAGCACGUUGCCCAUGUGAAAAGAGCUGGGAGGAUACUAAAAACUGUAUUGAAGCACAAACUCUCUCCAAGGUCUUAGUUUCAUCAAUACAUCUUUUUGUCCUGCUUAAUGGGGUGUGAGAAGUGGAUAUUGCUCACUUCCAGUGCAGACAGGUGUUUCUAUGACAAAAUGUAAUAAAAGCAGAAAGGAGGGUAACUGGUUUUGGACCUCUAGUUCCCUGCAGCACCAUGCUGAUAGAGCUAUGUGCCACCAGUGCCAAAAAUGGCAUUGACCUGGCUGUUCUGAGCAAGCCUCGUGUCACUAAGACCAUGCAAAUAUUUGGGAGCAUUGCUGGGAAAGCAGGUAGUGGCAUCACUGUGUCUACUCGUUCUUGUUCCUGCAGUCUCCUCGCAUCUCCUCACAUAAAUUCAUCGAAAAUAUUUCAGCCGGAUCAACUACUUCAUCAGGUUUAACUUGUGGUUGCCUAGUAGCUGGAUUUACACUGUGAAGAGGCUGCAAAAAAGAGGAUCUGAGCCACGAUAAUGUGGGUUGCUUCAUCUGGCAGUUCUGGAAAACCAAACGCAGAGGCAUAAUUUAUGCCAUGGCAUGCAAUGCUGUAUUCAACUUCUGCACAAGUGUUUUGGAAAAGAUAUUCUUCAUUAGACCUAGCACCGUGGCAUGGUGUGACUUUUUCCUGUUUCCUAAGUUGCUGCUAUCUUAAGUAGUCUGGUAGAGUGCAGCUGUGGCACACUAGUUUUUCCUCGCAGUGAUGAGUGCCUCAAGUGAGGGGGUGACUUGCUUCCUACUCUGUGCAAUCCUGAAAAUGUGGAACUCGUUCCCUCUGGAGUUAUGAAAUGUGGACAGAUUCCUCUUUUUUACAGUGGAAAAGCAUGAAAUCAUAGCCACAUUGGCUGGAGUUAUUAUUCGUUUAACAGUUAAACUUCCAUUAUGUUUUACUGUUUGCUACAUGCCAUUUUUAUGUGCUUCAGUUUUAUGCAUUUUGCAGUUAACUGUUUGAAAGGAGAAAGAAGUGAUUUACCAGGACUGUGCCUUUCUCCCCACUAAUUCUGUGCUUUUCUUGUUGCUAGGAUGAUAUUUGUUUCACAUUGCAUGUGGGCAUGUAGUAAAACAUAGAUAUAUUAAAUUUUACUGUCCGAUUCAUAGAGACUCCCAGAAAAAAGAAGACUCUUCAUGUGCUGUGAUAUAUCAUCCCUAUAUGUGGGUAUAACCAGAGCUUAGUUUUAUGCUGCAUGGUGAAGUUCUCUGCACAAGCCCUAUUCUGAAGGAAGCUGUACAAAAGCAGUUUUUUCUGGAAGCUACCACAUCGUGGAAUUGUGCCUUCUGGGUCAGAGAUGAAAGGAGCUGGCCACAGUGGCAAACACUGUCCUGGGGAGGAGAAAACAUUGCAGAAGGCUUCAGCUGAAUGUGAAUGGUUUAGUCAAAGUAUAGUCUGCUGGACUUUGCUUAAGCAAAAAGCAAUCAUUCUCCUUGUAAAUGUAAGAACACAGAGAAGGAAGAAAAUUUGCCAAGUAAGAAAGCAUUAUGGGCCAUUAGCAAAUUAAGGAAUGUGUAUCCUCUCCCAUGAACUUAUUGCUGCACAUAAAGAUCUGAAACUGUUCUGCUCUUGCGUUGUGGUAUUAGCCAACAUGAGGUGACCGCUGGGAAGAGGGUUCAGAAAUGUGCAAGAGAUGAAAAUUCCCUGCAAUAUAUUUUAUAUGGUAAAAACAUAUAGGUUUUGUUGUUGUUGUUUGUUUGUUUGUUUUCUCAUGGAUGUUGCAAUGUUGUCAAAUCCAAUAAGUCAAAUAUCAUUUUUCUACUGGGGAAGAAUACAAACAAAAUUGCUCACAUAGUAAUAAUGACUGACAUUCUUUAUGUUGUAUGCUGAAAGGACACCAUUAGGAGGGGCUAAGAUGUGAUGACCCAUACAGAUCUUUAUAGAGGACCAAAAAGGAAUUCCUGGGAGAUGUGUAUCAGCCCUUGAAAUACGUCCUGCAUAUGAUCCUGAGUCCAUCUGUGGUUGUGAAUAGGUUGGUAAGGCCUUAGUCUUCCACCCAGUAGCUAGGCCUUCACACCAGAAACAUUAAAAUCUUUGAGCUUGAUAUUGGCAUUUGGCAUCUAUAGCGUCAGCUGAAUUCGCAUUCUCAUUGGUUUUAUAAUUCUAUAUUAUUUUCUAAUGACAGUCUGCAUUCACAGUGGGUGAAGAAUGGGCAUGGACCCUUUGCUGGCUCUAAUGGAAGCUAUUGCUCUUGGUGGCAGGCAUAAAAUGGGCAAAUCUGCCUGUUUGAGUUGUGGAUAGGUAAGUCGGAUCAGCUGCUACUGGUGCUCUAGGCAUUUCACCAUUAAAAAUGUUGUAUGUCUCUUGAUUUGUCCACUAAGUCAACUUUGUAAUUCUAAAAGCAAAGCCAAUUACUACAGAGUUUCACUUAUUAAGCUUUUUCAUUGGUGUGUUUUUCAUUGACACUCUUUAGCUAAGGCAAAGGUUAUUAUUUUUAAUAAUUAUCCCUAACGAAUUUUGCACAUGGGAAGUGUAUAACAAAGCAUAUGUCCUUCAACAUCUUUGCUGUAGAAAUAAACAA